GAAGCUGGCAUUCAUCAACUCUAUUGCCAAGCCACCCAGAAAUGUCCGUAUUCAGCAGGAGAUCUAUGGAACCGCUCAUCCCUUGCAGCAGCCUCAUCCUCUGGACAGACCCAGUCCCAAAUCUCAAGACAACAGACCCAGACCCAGCUAUGCAGAACCAGCCAAACCUUCGACCACAGCUUCUGGGCCUAGUCAAGCACCAGACUCAAAAAGAGGAAGAGUUGCUCCUAUGAUGGCAAAAUCCUUGAAAGCCUUUAAGAAGCUGGGACGAAGAUGAUUACCUGAGGCAGGAUGGACCAGGAAACGGUUAUGUCAAAGGGUACUUUCUUGAUAGAUUUUCUUGUUAUUUCUUGUGAGCACCCAGUGAACUACACUAUUAAACAUGAUAAAAUGAUCAAUUUUGGUUUUUACUUUUAUUUAGGUGGCACAUUGAUUCCAGUUGGCAUUUGUAGACUCAUAAUUUUGUCUACUGUUGUCUAGGUUUAAGCUUCUCCUGGUGGUCAUGAAAACAAUUGUGCCUUCAGCCACCCAGGCCCAAAGGUGUCAAAAAGGUCUUAAGCAUGUUUAAUUGUCUACAUUAUUUGAGUGCUAGUAACACUAUUGGCCAAUACGGCUGUAGUUCCUCUUUCCUGUAAAAUGUAAGAAGCUCCUCUGUCAUUCCACACACACAAAUUGAUACAACACUAUUGGGCAAGGGAGCCAUGGUCCCUGUUCUGUAAAAUCUAUGGAACUCUAC